CCUACGGGUGGCAGCAGUGAGGAAUAUUGGUCAAUGGACGAGAGUCUGAACCAGCCAAGUAGCGUGAAGGAUGACUGCCCUAUGGGUUGUAAACUUCUUUUAUAUGGGAAUAAAAUGUUCCACGUGUGGGAUUUUGUAUGUACCAUAUGAAUAAGGAUCGGCUAACUCCGUGCCAGCAGCCGCGGUAAUACGGAGGAUCCGAGCGUUAUCCGGAUUUAUUGGGUUUAAAGGGAGCGUAGGUGGAUUGUUAAGUCAGUUGUGAAAGUUUGCGGCUCAACCGUAAAAUUGCAGUUGAAACUGGCAGUCUUGAGUACAGUAGAGGUGGGCGGAAGUCGUGGUGUAGCGGUGAAAUGCUGAGAUAUCACGAAGAACUCCGAUUGCGAAGGCAGUUCACUGGACUGCAACUGACACUGAGGCUCGAAAGUGUGGGUAUCAAACAGGAUUAGAUACCCCAGUAGUC
rnacentral:rRNA from 1 species